GAAUGGUAGUUUUAAAUAUCCUUCAAUAGAGGAGAAGGCACAAAAAAUUGCUGAUUUGAAGAAAAAAGAGGCUAAGGGAGAGUUAAGCACUUGUGGUGUAGUUGAUGUGCUGACUUUGGCAUUGGGGAAUCCAAAACAUGCUGGAAAAAUAAGAGGAGUAGGAGCAAAUGUGAAGCAAGCUACAUACUUUCACCUCCCUAAACGCCGAAAGGAAAGUGUUGAAGCAACUGUGAGGUUGAGCGUUCAGAAGAUAAUGGAACAAGAAAGGGAGAAAAUAUAGGCAGAAGAAUGGGCUAUUUGGGAGGAGAGGCUUAGGAAGAUAGAAACAAAGCUCAACAGGAAGGAUGAAGAAACUGAUUCCCCCAAAGUUUCCACUGUUGACAAGCAAGUUGGUUCUGGAUAAGAAAGUUGUUCAAAUCUGCUAGAGAAGAGUGUCAAGUUUAAUGAAAAGUUGAUUAAUAUUAAUGUCAGAAAAUCUUUGAAUUUAGAGCAUGUGGAGCAUGUUCAUCAUGUUAAGGGUUAUGAGAAAGAUGUGAAUACUGUUGAUGCAGUCAACUUGAAAGCAGAAGAGAAGAAUGAGCAAAAUGUAGAAGUACCAGUGGUUGAAGAUUUGGAGAUCCAAAAGGGUGAAUGUCAGGCACAGCCAAUUGGGAAACAAUGUGAAUUGGCUUUAGGUUCAAUUCAUAAUGUUGUAGCAGUUGCAACAAUUGUAGAAGUCAAUGAGGAGUGCAAAAGCCAGCUGAUCCAUGGUGUUCCGUUGGGUGAGGGGAACAUGCGUGUGUCAAUUCUACGCUCUGUAGUGGAUUCAGCUUUGCUUCCAUUCCCAAUAAAAGAUGAAAUCUUGACUGUUCGUGAUGCUAUUGGGACAUAUGUAGCUUGGCCUAAAGAGUUGAUAAUUUUUCCGACAGAUAAGAUGGCAACAAAGAGUAAAACAAUGAAGAAGAGAAAAAUGGCAGAAGAAAA